rnacentral:rRNA from 1 species
UGCGCAGGCGGUUUAUUAAGACAGAUGUGAAAUCCCCGGGCUUAACCUGGGAACUGCAUUUGUGACUGGUAGGCUAGAGUGUAGCAGAGGGGGGUAGAAUUCCACGUGUAGCAGUGAAAUGCGUAGAGAUGUGGAGGAAUACCGAUGGCGAAGGCAGCCCCCUGGGUUAACACUGACGCUCAUGCACGAAAGCGUGGGGAGCAAACAGGAUUAGAUACCCUGGUAGUCCACGCCCUAAACGAUGUCAACUAGGUGUUGGGGGAGGAGACUUCCUUAGUACCGCAGCUAACGCGUGAAGUUGACCGCCUGGGGAGUACGGCCGCAAGGUUGAA